AAGUCUUGGUUUUGAACUGUGAAUGUCGGGAUGGUUUGCCUCCAUUGCCAGUCUCCAUUCCUUCCCUUCCAUUCUCAGCUCAAACCCAGGCAGAAACUGAAAGCUGAAGGACAGCUUUGGCUCUUCUGCAAAGCUCCUCCAAGUCUGGUUUUACAGAGACAAACUGUUAAUUCAUUUGUGCCUUUGAGGACCAAUUCCCAGUCCAUUGCUGCCAUUCCUCCAUCCCAAUCUGGAGAUGUCAGUGUCUUUCUACAAACAAGAAAUGCAGUGCAUUGCUUCUGGUUGUUUACUUGUUGGCGAAUUUCGUGGCACCAUAUUUCAUCUCCAAGUAUUUCGAAUUCGACAAGGUAAGGGAAGAUCAGAAGAGGAAUGAGAAGUGAUUAAACCUUGGAAAAUGAGGAUGAAGAAGAUAACAGGAAAUGAAGCUCAGGAAUGCAGGCAGCUUUCCCUGGAGACAUUGAC